rnacentral:rRNA from 1 species
UGGGGAAUUUUGGACAAUGGGCGAAAGCCUGAUCCAGCAAUGCCGCGUGCAGGAAGAAGGCCUUCGGGUUGUAAACUGCUUUUGUACGGAACGAAACGGUCUGCCCUAAUACGGCGGGCUAAUGACGGUAUCCGGAGAAGAAGCCCCGGCUAACUUCGUGCCAGCAGCCGCGGUAAUACGAAGGGGGCUAGCGUUGUUCGGAAUUACUGGGCGUAAAGCGUGCGCAGGCGGUUAUAUAAGACAGAUGUGAAAUCCCCGGGCUCAACCUGGGAACUGCAUUUGUGACUGUAUAGCUAGAGUACGGCAGAGGGGGAUGGAAUUCCGCGUGUAGCAGUGAAAUGCGUAGAUAUGCGGAGGAACACCGAUGGCGAAGGCAAUCCCCUGGGCCUGUACUGACGCUCAUGCACGAAAGCGUGGGGAGCAAACA